UUCCGCACAAGACGUCUCAUCUGCAUCUCACUUGCUCUCCCUCCGUUCCAGCUAAUGCCCAUCGCCACUGCUCAGGACUCUGGGUUGCAGUAACAGCCACAGAGUUCAGCUAAGCAUGACCGAAGAAGGAAACAGGGUGCGAGUCAUGAGGAAGUCAGGAGGCGGGCUUCAGGCCCAGCUGGAUGCAGGAGCUCACGCGGAGCGUCAGAACUCUGUCUCGUGCCCUUUCUUUUCGGUUCUCUCUCUUCCCCAUUCUGCCCCGGGGCGCUCUACCACCGAGCUACACCCUAGGCCGAUUUAUUCUAAAAUAUGAGAUGGGGUCUAACUAAGUGGCCCAGGCUGUCCUUGCACUUGUGUUCCUCCUGCCUCAGCCUCUUGAGCAGCUGGGAUAAUGGGCACAAGUCCCUGGGCCCGGCUCGUUUCGACUUUCUGGGCACAGUGAACACACUGGCUGCCCGCAGGCCUUCAUUGAGAGGCCCUCUGAGCCUCCUCUUCGUCCCACCUUAGGUCAGGCACCUACACUGAACAGACGCAUGGAGAACUGGCCUCUGUGCCUGGUGUUGACUGACCGCCCCUCAGGACUACAGAGCACUGGACGGGACGCUUCCCUGGGACCCGAGUGCCCGCUCACAGCACACCACUCUUCCAGCCACCGACCUUUCGUUCCUGUGUUCUCAGGCCACAGCCCCCUGCCGAGCGGGAGGCACUCUGGGAUCCCAGUUCUGACCCUGAGGGCGGCGUGGCCUCUCUGGACUUUCCUUUUCCUCCUGAGGAUGGACAAGGAUCGAGAUCAUUCCUGUGGGCAGAAUGGAGUCUGGGGCCCUGCCCAGGCAGGACUGCGUGCUGAGGGUCUGGGGUCCUGCUUAGUGUCCUGCUGGGCGCCUGGAGGCUUUGUCUCUGCACUCCAGCUGCACAGCACUAGGCUUCUCUGAGCCUCCGUUUCUCCGCCUGCUGGAAACAGAAGCUGCCUCAGAGGACGGGAGAGAGCACAGGUCCGCCUCCGGGCCUCUGCUGAGGCUGUUCCCUCAGCCUGGGGUGCUGUUCCCCACCAUGGCUGGCGUGCUCUGCCCUGUGCACCUCGGGGGACCUGGCCCCCCUCCCCUUCUCCCACCCAGGCCGCCUGGCUGAGGCCCACUGGGUGACUCAAAACCUUCGGCCUCCCUGAGCAGCCCAGCAGGCAGCCCCUGGGCCCCGAUGGACAGGGGGAACGAGUGGCCAGAGCUUGCUGGGCUGCCCCGGCUCCAGCUGCAGCCUCUGGCCCUGCUGCCUCUGCAGGCAGCAAGCACCUGCCAGGAGGAGGACCUUGGACGGGGAGGAAGUCCACGCUGCCCUGGGGCGGCUGAUUUCUAAGAAAGCAGCUGGAGGACAGGAAGCCCGGAGGGAGGUGCCCGCGGCUUUUGCUUUCAUUUCUCUGGGCUGGAGCCGAGAGGUGUCUGUGGUGUGGCCCGGUCGGCUUCAGGGGUCCAGAGGACAGCCACCACUUCAGGACAGAACCAGGUACUCUGACAGGUGACCCCUGCCCUCUGGGUCCUCGCGUCUAGAGGACAGAAACCUCGGGCCACCUCACCAGGACUUCAGUGUGAGCGGAGGCAGCACAGAGUGCAAGGGUGCCUCCCAGAGCAGGUGACGGCCGAGUGGGGUUUUGAAGGCUGCGUAGGAGUUUGCCCAGUGAAGGGAAGACAGAGGACAUCGAAGGCCUCCCCUUGGCCCUGGGGACGGGACAGGACUGAGGUGGCCUCCAAUCCGUGGGGAAGGCGGCAUGUUCUAGGACCUGGCAGUGGAGAGCUCCCGGGUCCUGCUCUUACUGACCGGGAGGCCACGGGCAAGGCGCUCGGCCUCUUCCGGAUUCAGCUUCCUCGUCUGUAAAAUAGACAACAGGGUGCCCACCAGGCGGCCCUGGAGAAGGGUAGUGCGCUGCGGUCCUCACCCAACGUGCGCGGAGCUGGGGGGUGGGCGAGGCUGGAGCCGCGGGCACUGAGACCUGACACCCGCGCAGGGGCCGGCCGCACCUGGGCCUCGCUCCCCCAUCCCCAGCCAGCGAUGGAGCCACCCUGAAGCCAAAGGUGCUCUCCUCCUGAUCCCGCCCCGGCCCGGCCGGGUCACAGGCCCCCCCACCUGGACUUGAAGUGGUUUCGCUUUGACCCACCUGCUGGGAAACGUGGCCCUUCCUGUCAUCAGGCUAGUGCACAGGGGACUGGGCCCAGGUUUCAUUUUCAGUGAUGCAAGCUGGGGAUGGGAUGCAGGGCCAGCCCGCUCUGGGCUCUUCCUGCCUUUUAUUGAGCAUGUACUUUGUGCUCAGCAGUUUAGAAUCACUUCCUUUAACCCUUCAUACCCUGUGAGCUCUGGAUGCCUCACCCCUGAGUAAUCUGGGACUCAGAGCCCAUGACGAUGUUGCAGCCUCACUGGGCAGUGUCUCCCCGGGCGUGGGACAGGGGCCCUGGAGGGUCCUGUUUGCAUCCUCUCGCCCGCCGUCCUUGGGCUGGAGUGAGGCCGCGCAGGUCUGCUGUUGGGGCUCCGGUCCUAGCCUGACCCUGGAUAAUAUCCUCUCCUUCUCCUUCUCUCUCCAGCAAACCUACAGCAGACCUGUAGUGGUUAAGCACCACCAGGUUCAAUCCCUGGAGCCAAAAAACAGGCCACCUCUCAUGGCCGGGAUCCCACCUCCUCCAGCAUGAUAAUGAUGACAUAAAGUGUUCUGAAGGAACCAAAUGACUUGACUUGAAGAAAACAGCAACCAAAAAACAGAACGGCUGGUUCUUGGAAAGACCUGGGGGAAAAGUCAUAAAAACGGAGUCUGAGCAGCCUCCGCUUAGAGAUCCACAUGCACGAAGGACUGAACACCGAGGCCCUGGGUUAGACCCCCAGACCUGCCACCAUCACCUGCCAUGUGGCACCUGGCAUGGCACGGAGUUAAUUUCACAAAACGAGGACAGGAAUGCCCACACCUGCAGCCUACGCUCUCCUGAGGAUUUAGCAGAACAAUGCCUGGCGUCCAGUGUGCAUUUGGCAUUCUGCUGCUCCUGGCAAAGUGGCAAGUCCAGGACGGGACCAGGUCGGCUGCCUCCAUGGCUGAGCCGAUUCAGAGGCUCCUGGGCAGUCAGCGGGACGCUCCUAGAUUCGGGUGGGAAGCAUUCAUUUCCUUUCUACUCAGUCGACCUUGGGCAGCAGGUAUACACAUGGAGCCUAAUCCUUGUUGUAUGAAUGAGGCCACUAGAGUCACAUAGUGGGCAGGUGUGCUUGGCCGCCCCCUCGGCUCCUCAGGCCUCCCGUCGCCCCCCCAGCUGCAGCCCUGUGUGGGAGGGCAUGAUGUCUCCCUAACAGGCCCCUGCAGGUCCGGGAGGAGCCAGCCCUGACUGUCACCAGCCAGCCCUGCCCUUGCCAGUCCUCUGCCUGGCUCCUACUUCCUGUCCCGCUCAUCCUGUCUGCCUCGGUGGCCCCUCAGCCUUUCUGAGCCUGUCUCACCCCACAACCUGGGCCAAGUGGUCACAGCCAUUAGGUGCUCAAUAAAUGGCUCUGCUUGAAAACAGCGCCAUGCAAGAGCCACAAAGCAGA